AGUGAACGCUGGCGGUAGGCCUAACACAUGCAAGUCGAACGGCAGCACAGUAAGAGCUUGCUCUUACGGGUGGCGAGUGGCGGACGGGUGAGGAAUACAUCCGAAUCUACUUUUUCGUGGGGGAUAACGUAGGGAAACUUACGCUAAUACCGCAUACGACCUACGGGUGAAAGCAGGGGAUCUUCGCACCUUGCGCGAUUGAAUGAGCCGAUGUCGGAUUAGCUAGUUGGCGGGGUAAAGGCCCACCAAGGCGACGAUCCGUAGCUGGUGUGAGAGGAUGAUCGGCCACACUGGAACUGAGACACGGUCCAGACUCCUACGGGAGGCAGCAGUGGGGAAUAUUGGACAAUGGGCGCAAGCCUGAUCCAGCCAUACCGCGUGGGUGAAGAAGGCCUUCGGGUUGUAAAGCCCUUUUGUUGGGAAAGAAAAGCAGCAGGUUAAUACCCCGCUGUUCUGACGGUAACCAAAGAAUAAGCACCGGCUAACUUCGUG
rnacentral:rRNA from 1 species